AACAAACUCCAGGUUGGUGUUAGGUUGCAUCGGCAGCAGGGACUAAGCUGCUGUGAGUUGUGUCGCUGUAAGAUCUCUGGCUGUCAGGCCUCUGCCCCUACCUGUUACCACCAAUCACAGAGCCGAUUGAUCCGAUCGAUCCAAUCUAGCAUCGCGUGCACGGCCUAGCGGGGUCAAACGAAGCGCCAAUGUAGGACAAGGCGGGCUAAAAAAACUUGCUUUGACCAGAGGCUUUUCUUCAACAAGAUGAACAAACUUGUGAUCAGAAAUCCAAAAACACCAAGAGAAACUCAGUAACGACAGCAACGAAGAAAACGACAAAGAAGGGACGGACUUUUCAAGCUAGCUGGAAAAUAACAUUUCCUUUACUGGCCUACGACACCACAAAAACAAGCCUCCCACCUUCGUCCUCCUCCUCUUCCUCCAUCUUUAGGACGGCUCAGUGGACAGUUGCCUCAAUGACGGGUCCUCUCAGACAUCUCUGGAUGACCUCUGACCUCAAAAGGCGAGAAGGCAGACCUCAACGUCACCUGUUUCCUGACCUCGGGAAUAUUGUGGCUGAGAUUACACAGGACACAGGACCCACCUUGCUGUCGCCAUCUUGGCAGUGCAUGACUCCACCAAACUCCAAAAUGGGCAAGGAGCACAAUGGCUGACACGAGGUGAAAAUCCCCUUUUGGCAUCCUCCUCCCCUGUUUGUCCUGCUGUAUAUUUGAGGGAGAUAACAGUGACUUUCCAUUGUUGUGAGAGUCACUAAUAAAUGAUGCAUCAGACAGUCACCUGCUUGACUUCCCACGUUUCCUUUGUGUGGAUUUGACACAGCGUGUUGUUCAGACUUCCUGCAAGGCACCUAAAAGCAUUUUGCCAUUUCCUCUCCUGCUACAUGAACCAGUUUCCCCCGCUCCCUCAAUCCCAACAAGAUCACACAAAAUCCCUGCCGGAUGCUGAGCAGCAGGACUUCACUUCUGCUGCAUGCUAUGAUGGCUAUUUCAGUGUGUGACCCCACCUGACAAAGGCCGCUGUCGAACACAUCCUACUAUGUUUAAGUGGAAGAAGCUGUCACUGCUUUGGUACUUGCUCUGUUGUCUUGAGUUAAUGGGAUAAAAAAAUAUUUGCAAGUAUGGCCUCUCUUGUUUUCCACAGACAUUACACAGGUUGUAAACAAGCCGACAGUUUAAUGAUCAAUGAGAAAAGGUUCUUUACCUCUGAGAAUCUGGUCCUAGCAGGUGUAUUGGUCCAGUACUAAUGUACCUUUCUCAAGUACACAGCUAUGGAUGGUUUCUAUUGUGAUUCAAGGAGGAAAAACUAUAAUAAAGUAAUUUAGUAAUAUAGAAUAUAGAUGUAGGUGGAUCAAACAUUGCUAAUCUUGAACCAGGCCCUGGUUAUUUCCUCUGGCGGCUGCCCUUCAGUGAAACCCUUGGUGGGAUGGUCCAGAAGAAUCUCUACUGAGAAACAACUCUGACACCUCUUCUUUACCUGGUGUCCUUGUACUUAUUAAACAGAUGUAGUUCUCAGUACUUACACCAAGAUUAAACUUAAACUGCACUGAAGCUUUAGUGAUAUUCCUUACUUGUAAGGCGCUUUGGAUUAAAAGCAUCUGACAAAUGAGUCAAUGUAAUGUAAAUGUAAUCUUUAAUGUUUAAUGAGGCACCCAGUAAUUAUUAAGCCUUUUCAUUAAGAAUAAAGUGUAUGGGCUGUAAUAUAAUGUGUGGCUGUUCUCUCCUUUUUCCUCUUUAAUUAUUCAGUAACAAAACAAACAGAUACAGAUAUUGGCUUUGAGUUACGGCCCAAGUGCACAGAGCCGUAACUCAACCCUUAGUACAG